rnacentral:tRNA from 1 species
GGCUCGUUGGUCUAGGGGUAUGAUUCUCGCUUUGGAUGCGAGCGGUCCCGGGUUCAAAUCCCGGACGAGCCC